rnacentral:rRNA from 1 species
GAUGAACGCUGGCGGCGUGCCUAAUACAUGCAAGUCGAGCGAACGGACGAGAAGCUUGCUUCUCUGAUGUUAGCGGCGGACGGGUGAGUAACACGUGGAUAACCUACCUAUAAGACUGGGAUAACUUCGGGAAACCGGAGCUAAUACCGGAUAAUAUUUUGAACCGCAUGGUUCAAAAGUGAAAGACGGUCUUGCUGUCACUUAUAGCUGGAUCCGAGCUGCAUUAGCUAGUUGGUAAGGUAACGGCUUACCAAGGCAACGAUGCAUAGCCGACCUGAGAGGCGGAUCGGCCACAUGGGAGCGUAGACGCGGUCCAUACGCCUACGGGAGGCAGCAGUAGCGAAUCUUACGCAAUGGGCGGAAGCCUGACGGAGCAACGCCGCGUGAGUGAUGAAGGUCUUCGGAUCGUAAAACUCUGUUAUUAGGGAAGAACAUAUGUGUAAGUAACUGUGCACAUCUUGACGGUACCGAAUCAGAAAGCCACGGCUAACUACGUG